rnacentral:lncRNA from 1 species
AGCAGUAAGUCAGUAGCCCACCCAGUUGCUCGCGAUGGAAAAUUCGCCAUCAAUUUUCCCAUUUCAAUUUGAUUUUCAGAAGCUCUAAUUUCACGCAAACAAUUCGUAACAUAAAUUAAUUUUAUCGUAAUUGACUGUAAUUUCUCCUUUCAAAACUUUUCAAUCCGUUAUUGUAAGAGAAAAAGCACAGUGGUUGUUAAACCAUGUCCUUGAGGAGCAAUGGCAGCAGCAAUCAUAGUAAAGAAGACGAACGGAACAAGGAUACUUCUUCUUCGCCUUCUACGCUGGAUUCAAGAUUCAAUCAAACUCUCAAAAAUGUUCAAGGGUAUGUGUUUAAUUUUGCACUCGUUAGAUCCAACAGAAAUUACUGCUUAUUAACCCUGAAUUUUGUUACUAAAGGAAAUCCCAUUUCCCGGUUGGUCUCGGGUUUCUUCUGUUUUUGUUCAGAUUUGAAUACCCAUUUGAAAAUUAAUACUGAAAAACCAAAUAGAAUUUAAUUUGAGAAUUCGUUUGAAUUUUGAUCUGGGGAAUAAUUUAACUUCUAUUGUGUUUGUUAGCUGAUAGUUAAUGAUCUAAAUUCUAAUUUCAGUAGGUGUGGUUGUUUACAUUGUCUAUUUAUGUAAAGUUUUUUCCUUCCUCUUUUUUAUUUUUAUUAUUUAUUUAUUUAUUUAUUUUUCCCGGUGAAUUAUGGAAUCAUGGAACUGCGAUUUGUGUGUGCCAAUAGUGCCAUUAAAAUUGUAUACAUUGCUUAGUUUCGAUGGAUUGUUUCAGGUCUUAACGGUGAAUUAUGUGAUCUAUUUUUAAAUUUCUUUUAACAUUUUUAUUCUUCUUCAUAUUGAGUCAUAUACAGGCAUUUUGAUUAAUGUAUCUCUAUUUUAUGUUAACUGUCUCAUAUUUUUUGUUCUCACAGGUAGCAAAUAUUAAGAAAAUUUCCCUUCCUGUUGAAAUAGGAGUGGAAAAGCCCCUUUCAGGAAACGACUGCGGCUCCAAUGCAUUUGCAAAUUGGUAUUUAGUGACCUUGAUCCUUCCGUGAAGGUACACAGUUUGCCUUCUGUAGUAAAUCAACAAGUUCAAAUAUGUGGGUUCAAUUAAAUAUCCAGUUGAAGCAUUUUAUUUUAUUUUAUUUAUUUAUUUAUUUUUGGAUUUGGAUUGAAACGAUUUACUCCAAUAUUCUUAGCAGCUUAUUACACUGCUACUUUAUUUGUUUUAUUUUAGUUUUUCAUAUACCUAAAUGGAAAAAGAAAGCUAACGAAUAUGACCUUUUCCUAUUCUUAAAAUUCUUUCCUACUCGUCAUAUUUACAUUUCCCAUUUGUUUCCUUAUUAUUUUAGUUAGGGCGGGGCAAAUCUCUCGAACCGAACCGAUCCGAACCCAACGGCUCUUGUCAAAUUAAAUACCCGAACGAGUAUCUGAAUUGAGAAUCGACGAGUAUAGUUCGAUUUUCGGUUAUAGACCAAGAACCGAAAAAUCGAACAAAAAUCGAAUCUUUCUAAUUUUUUUAAUAUUGAAUAAAUCAAAUUAUUUUAAUUUAUAUUUUUUCUAAACAAAUUAACAAUUUCUAAAUCCAAAUUUUUGGCCCAAUAAUUUGUUUCAUUUCUAAUUUUUUUUUUUUAAUUUUUGGCCCAAUUAUCCAUUUUAUUGUUUCAUUUCUUAGCCCAACAUGAUCCAACCCAAUAAUAAUCAUAAACACCUACACUAAAGUGCAUAACGCUAUCUCAACUCUCACACUCACUCUCGCAGUCUCGCUGACAUUUCAGAACCUAUAAAAUCGCCAACCAAAACUGUGACCGCUGACUAAAGCUGUGAUCGCAACGAUCAUUUGCACAAGGUAGUUUACUAGUCUCUAACAUUCCAAAACCAUUGCAAUUAUUUAGAGCUUGGAUUCAAGGGGUUAAAUGUUCAUGUGGUUUUAAUGGGUUAUUUAGCGCUAGAGAAUUUGUAAUUGCUUUCUGUUGAAUUCUGCUUGGGAGACCCGAGAAAGAAAUUAGAGGAUGGCCUAGCAUAGUGUAACUCGAGAAGGAAAUUAAGCCGCAAUCAUCUCAAUUCCUUUUUGCAUCAAAAUCAGUUUCUAGAAAUGAAGUCAAGUGUAUGAGUUGUCAAGUAUGUAGCUAAACAUGUUUUUAUCCGUGUCUGCCUUGAAAGAUCUACCUUAGACAUUUCUGGGACUGAACUCAGCCUCCAUGUUGAAUCUCUAAUAUUGCAUUUUCUACCCAAUUCCUAUGCCUUUCUUUUUCCAUGUUAUCAAGUCGCCUAUAGUUGAAUCAUGUUAAUAAGAUUGGUUUUGGUAGGUUUCUAUGCAACAUCUAAAUUGGAAAAAAUAGCCAGUUGAUCAUGUUAAUAAGAUUGGUUCUGGUAGGUUUGUAUGCAAUAUCUAAAUUGGAAAAAUAGCCAGCUGACCAUGUUAAUAAGAUUAGUUAGCAGUUAGCUUAUACUCUUUAUGGGUUUUCCAGAAUGUUUUGCUGGUUUUUCUCUAUUCAAUUGGUGCAAAUUCGUUAGUGUUUGAUGAUUUUGUUCCACAUUGUUUGUCUAGAAUUUAAUCAAGUUUCUUGUUAAGGUGAUACCAAUUCUGGAUGCUCAAAUGGGAGGCAAAAAACAGCCUAAUGAGAAGUCAAAAUCAUUUCACUAAAAACAGCCUAUGAGGGCAUUGAUACAGGUAAUAAAAUAUAUAUUAUAUUUUUUUUAAUUAAAUCUUAUUAGUUAAACAAAUUUGAAUUUAUUUAUGUUUGUUAAUAACUUAAUUGUGCUUUUUCAAUUUUUUUCUUGCAAAGUUUCUUAAUAGUGAGUAUGGCAAGUCAGGCAAUUGAUGGAUAGUUGAAGUUUUAAUAUUAUUAUCUACUCUUUGGUAUUUGUAAAUUGUAAGCAUUAGUAAAUUAAUCUUGUUGG